GCCUGGGUGGCUCAGUCGGUUAAGCGUCCGACUUCAGCUCAGGUCACGGUCUCGCGGUCCGUGGGUUCGUGCCCCGCUUCGGGCU
rnacentral:tRNA from 1 species